GACAGAGGUGCCAAGCGUUAGGCGGAAUCACUGGGCUUAAAGCGUGUGUAGGCGGAUCGUUAAGUGCCUUGUGAAAUCCCACGGCUUAACCGUGGAACUGCUCGGCAUACUGGCGGUCUUGAGCCAGCUAGGGGCUACCGGAACAAAUGGUGGAGCGGUGAAAUGCGUAGAUAUCAUUUGGAACGCCGAAGGUGAAAACAGGCUGCUGGGGUUGCGCCGACGCUGAGACACGAAAGCCAGGGGAGCAAACGGG
rnacentral:rRNA from 1 species